rnacentral:rRNA from 1 species
AGAGUUUGAUCAUGGCUCAGAACGAACGCUGGCGGUAUGCUUAACACAUGCAAGUCGAACGAGAAAGUCUCUUCGGAGAUGAGUAGAGUGGCGCACGGGUGAGUAACACGUAGAUAACCUACCCUUUAGUCCGGGACAACCCUUCGAAAGGAGGGCUAAUACUGGAUAAUACAUUUUAUCGAGUGAUGAGAUGUUGAAAGAUUUAUUGCUAGGGGAUGGGUCUGCGGACCAUUAGCUAGUUGGUGGGGUAAUGGCCUACCAAGGCGUCGAUGGUUAGCGGGUCUGAGAGGAUGAUCCGCCACACUGGAACUGAGACACGGUCCAGACUCCUACGGGAGGCAGCAGUGGGGAAUUUUGCGCAAUGGGCGAAAGCCUGACGCAGCAAUACCGCGUGAGUGAAGAAGGCCUUUGGGUCGUAAAGCUCUUUUCUAGGGGAAGAUAGUGACGGUACCCUAGGAAUAAGCACCGGCUAACUCCGUGCCAGCAGCCGCGGUAAUACGGAGGGUGCAAGCGUUGUUCGGAUUUACUGGGCGUAAAGAGCACGUAGGCGGCGUAGCAAGUUAAGGGUGAAAUCCCGGGGCUCAACUCCGGAACUGCUCUUAAAACUGCUAAGCUAGAGAUAGUCAGAGGCGGGUGGAAUUCCAGGUGUAGAGGUGAAAUUCGUAGAUAUCUGGAGGAACACCGGUGGCGAAGGCGGCCGCUGGGGCUAUUCUGACGCUGAGGUGCGAAAGCGUGGGGAGCAAACGGGAUUAGAUACCCUAGUAGUCC